AACGCUGGCGGCGCGCUUAACACAUGCAAGUCGAGCGAGAACCAGAACUUCGGUUCUGGGGACAGCGGCGAACGGGUGAGUAACACGUGGGUAAUCUGCCCUCGAUUCUGGGAUAGCCCGGGGAAACCCGGAUUAAUACCGGAUAGCCUUUCAGGUUUUCGGACUUGAAAGAAAAGGUAGCUUCGGCCUCCGAUCGAGGAUGAGCCCGCGGUGGAUUAGCUUGUUGGCGGGGUAAUGGCCCACCAAGGCGACGAUCCAUAGCUGGUCUGAGAGGACGAUCAGCCACACUGGGACUGAGACACGGCCCAGACUCCUACGGGAGGCAGCAGUGGGGAAUCUUGCGCAAUGGGCGAAAGCCUGACGGAGUGACGCCGCGUGUGGGACGAAGGCCUUCGGGUCGUAAACCACUGUCAGUGGGAAAGAUGGGUGCCGGUGUUAAUACCAUCGGCAUCUGACGGUACCUGCAGAGGAAGCCCCGGCCAACUCUGUGCCAGCAGCCGCGGUAAGACAGAGGGGGCAAGCGUUGCUCGGAAUUACUGGGCGUAAAGGGCGCGUAGGCGGGAUGGUAAGUCGGUCGUGAAAUCCCUCGGCUCAACCGAGGAACGUCGAUCGAUACUACCGUUCUUGAGGAUUGCAGAGGAGACUGGAAUUCCCGGUGUAGCGGUGAAAUGUGUAGAGAUCGGGAGGAACACCGGUGGUGAAGGCGGGUCUCUGGGCAAUUCCUGACGCUGAGGCGCGAAAGCGUGGGGAGC
rnacentral:rRNA from 1 species